GCGCACAAAGUGAAUAACGCCGGCCAGCCGGAGAUCGGACAAUGCUUAAAAAGCCCGCACGCAGUCCUUGAAAACAAAACUGAAACGACAGGUAUGUUCUGACAGACAGCUUGCACGAGAAAAACAAACUCCGUCGGUUGUUCGUGCUGCGCGAAUUAUAAUGUCUCUACCAUUGUUUCUGCGCGAGCAUUGGCGGUGUGCGGGCCCCUCUUUCCCGCUUUGGAAUCAGGACAGCUGGACAGGUGAGUCAAUCACGGUACGCAAUGUGAGUUACAAGAUAAUCGCAUUUUCGUGAGCUACCUCUCGAAGGAUUCCGAGCCAAUAUUGUGGAAGAAAAUGACGUGGGUUCUCUGCAUGGGAACAGUCCUUCUUGCAUGUAUACAGGGAUCUGUAUGCUUCGAAGACGACCCCACCUAUAUGCAAUGCAGCGAGUGGCCAGACAGAGGGCCGUGUAACGGAACUCUAUAUC